UCCAUUCAGAACCCUUACACAAACCAAACCUUACGGAUUCUCUCGAUCGAUCAUUUGUAUCUAUUGAAAUUUCAAACCUAAAACAUUCCUCCUCCUUUGGAACCAAAGGUUCAUAGACUUCUUCAGUUCACCGGAUUGAGUUCACCAGAUUUUAAAUUUCGUCUUCCCCUUCUUUUGACGAGUCAAGAACUGUGUCAAACUAUACAUUAAUAUCACUUUUAUUUGAGAUAUUAAGUGUUGAUUCAUGACUGAUCUCAUUGUUACUUUCUUCAUCAGACUGACUGGCUGAUGCAGUAUGGGGCUAUCCUAAAUUUGCAUCAUAUGGUUCUACCACUAAAAACAUAAAUCACGGUCCAGCUACAUCUAAACCCCUGGGUAGUAAAUUUCAUACAUUUAUUUAUAAUUUAUUACAUUUGUAUAUAUUUAUUUCUUUCUGGCACUUACUAACCAAAAAAAUGUUUACAUAAAACAAUACUAUUCUGCAAACGCAAGGAGGAGUCCACUUGAAGCUUAAUCAGCGUAUAUGUCUUCUAUACCAUUAAUUUGUGGCUUAUUGCAUGUUUUUCUGGAUCAGUACUAAAUAUUUUAAAAAUUGCAGGAGCUGACAAGAGCACAAGAUGCUUGCAGCCUAUAAUGAGAUUGAAAAUAUUCGUCUAAAGAUUCGGCGCGGGAAGGGGUUGUAUUAUCAUAUAUGAAUGUGCAGGGUUGAUUGGAUAAAGGAAAAAUCAGUUCAAAACGUUCAAUGCUGUUGCUCACGAAAACUCUCCUGGACAUUUCACCAGCAGAAAUUCAUUUUCUUACUAAUGUGUUCUAACUCUAUCAACAGAUUCCAAAUUCAAGAUUAUUAUAAAUCAUGAUUUCUCCAUUUGCAUCGAUGUUGUCCACUACCAGGUAAGGAGUCAGGAAUGACCACGAUGUCCAGUUGUAGCAUAUAUGCGCGCAAACGUUCUUGACAUUAUAACGUGAGAUUGCUAUAGAGUUGUAGUGUAGUUUUUUAAAAUUGUCAACAACCAAACACGAAUCACUCAAAAUUCCAGUCUUUAACAAGGUCGAUUAUCUAAUCUGGAAAGUAAAGAUGAUGCUAUAUCUCGAAGCCACAGAUCCUGAUUUCAUCGACAAGAUUACUGACGGUUCUCAUGUUCCAAAGAAAUUGAUUCCUCAAGAUGGAACUACUCCUG